rnacentral:tRNA from 1 species
GAUUAUUUAUCUUAAUUUAAAGUUCUUAUUUUGAAAAUAAGAUAUAGAAAGUAAUUUCUAAUAAUCU